rnacentral:rRNA from 1 species
AAAUUGAAGAGUUUGAUCAUGGCUCAGAUUGAACGCUGGCGGCAGGCCUAACACAUGCAAGUCGAACGGUAACAGAAAGCAGCUUGCUGCUUUGCUGACGAGUGGCGGACGGGUGAGUAAUGUCUGGGAAACUGCCUGAUGGAGGGGGAUAACUACUGGAAACGGUAGCUAAUACCGCAUAACGUCGCAAGACCAAAGAGGGGGACCUUCGGGCCUCUUGCCAUCGGAUGUGCCCAGAUGGGAUUAGCUAGUAGGUGGGGUAAAGGCUCACCUAGGCGACGAUCCUUAGCUGGUCUGAGAGGAUGACCAGCCACACUGGAACUGAGACACGGUCCAGACUCCUACGGGAGGCAGCAGUGGGGAAUAUUGCACAAUGGGCGCAAGCCUGAUG